AUGGCCGUGCCCCCAGGAGAUCCCCACAAGUGUCUAGCCAGGAGUCCCUCAAGCUCCAAUGGGAGCUCCAUGUCCCUGCAGGGUUCUCUGUGUCCCUACAGGACCCCCGUGUGCCACCAAGAGAGCCCCACGCCCCUACAGGGUCCCUUAUGCUGUCCCCAUGCUCACCCCAGCUCCAGGCUGCCCCAAAACGCUGCUUCCCUGGUUCCCAAGGCUGGGGGCUGCCCCCCAGCCUCACCCCGAGCAGUGCCAGCCCCCCGUGUCCCCAUCCUGCCACGUACGUGUCUCCUCGGGCUGGGGCCAGACCCGCUCGGGUCUCCUCCUGCCCGGGGGCUUGGGGGGCUUCCGCUGCCGCCGGACGAACUCGACUGGGGACACAGAGGGUGGCGCUGGCUUUGUGCUGAGGGCGGGGGGGACGUGCCCCCCAUCCCUCCCCGUGGGCAGCGCCCGGCUCCGUACAGUCCUCGUAGUCCUCCCGCUCCAGCUGCUCGUUGUAGUCCAGGGUCGGGGGCUCCGGCUCCUCGGGGACCUCUGCAGACAAGAGACACGGGUGGCACUGGGGUCAGGCAGGACAGCAGGGAGGUGGCACUUGGGAACCCUGAGGUAAGGGUGGCCCUGGGGCACAGAGGAGGUGACACCUGGGAGCAGGGAAUGAGUGCAGGGCGCAGGAAAGGGACACCAGCCAGGAGGGAGGUGGCACUGGGAUGCAGGCAGAGGGUGCUGGGACAAAGGAAGGUGACACAGGGGUGCAGGAAGGUGGCAUUUGGGAACAAGGAGGUGCCUGUGCUGCAGGAGCAUGGCCCUGGGGUGCAGCAAGGUGACGUUUGGGGACAGGGAGGUAGUCCCAACACACAAGGAGAUAGCCCCAGGGUGCAGAGUGGUGGCCCUGGCCUGCAGAGGAGUGUCCCCAAGACAGGGUGGUGGCCCUGGGGACUGGGCACUCACCUGGCUGGGGCUCAGGGUUCCAGUCCUCCCCGCCCGGCCCCCAGCGCUCAUUUGGUGGCUCUUCCAGCUCUCCUGGGGACAGAGGGAGGGGCUGGCACGGCCUCCAGGCCCCUGGCCUGGCCCCCCCCAGCCCCACAGGGGGAAGAAAAUCCCACCAGAAGCAAAGUGGGAGGACAGAAGGGAAACCCACGGGGACAAAGCCCAGCCAGCUGUAGGUGCUGCCAGGGCAGCUGGGCAGGAUAUAGGGUGAAGCUCUGCUGGGCUGAGACCUCCCACCCCAACCCCACUAGUGGCAAGAUGGGUGUCCCCAAAACUCACCUCGGACACCUCCAUCCUCCUCCUCCUCCUCCUCCUUGUGAGAAGGCUCCAGGAACUCGGGGAUCUCUUCAUUCUCCUUGCCCUGUGAGGACUGGCGGACAGUAG
rnacentral:lncRNA from 1 species